UGAUGGACGUAUAUUUUUCAUUGAUCACAAUACAAGAACAACACAGUGGGAAGAUCCACGUAUGUCUAAUCCACAAAUUGCUGGACCAGCUGUACCAUAUUCACGUGAUUAUAAAUUAAAAUAUGAAUAUUGAAAAUCACAACUAAGAAAACCAAGCAGUGUACCAAAUAAAUUUAAGAUAGAAGUUGGAAGA